GCCUGGCUGUCCUAGUCGGUAGGGCAUGGGACUCUUAAUCUCAGGGUUAUGAGUUCAAGCCCCAUGUUGGGCA
rnacentral:tRNA from 1 species